GACGAACGCUGGCGGCGUGCUUAACACAUGCAAGUCGAGCGGUAAGGCCCUUUCGGGGGUACGACGAGCGGCGAACGGGUGAGUAACACGUGGGUGACCUGCCCUCAGCUCUGGGAUAAGCCUGGGAAACGUGGGUCUAAUACUGGAUAUGACUCCACGGUGCAUGUCGUGGGGUGGAAAGCCUUGUGCGGCUGAGGAUGGGCCCGCGGCCUAUCAGCUUGUUGGUGGGGUGANCGG
rnacentral:rRNA from 1 species